UACGUAGGGACCAAGCGUUGUUCGGAUUGACUGGGCGUAAAGGGCGCGUAGGCGGUUCGUACAGUCAGGCGUGAAAUUCCCGGAGCUUAACCUGGGGGCUGCGUUUGAUACGUGCGGGCUUGAGUUCGGAAGAGGGUCGUGGAAUUCCCAGUGUAGAGGUGAAAUUCGUAGAUAUUCGGAGGAACACCAGUGGCGAAGGCGGCUCACUGGCUCGGUACUGACGCUGAGGUGCGAA
rnacentral:rRNA from 1 species